rnacentral:misc_RNA from 1 species
UUUCCGUAGGUGAACCUGCGGAAGGAUCAUUACUGAGAACUUGCCCUUCGGGGUAGAUCUCCCACCCAUUGUUUACAUACUUUGUUGCUUUUGCAGGCCUGCCUCUUGUACUACUGGCCUUUGCUAAUUAGUGCCUGCCAAAGAACAAACACUCUGAAUCAUUUAUUGUCUGAAGUACUAUUUUAAUAGUUAAAACUUUCAACGACGGAUCUCUUGGUUCUG